CUUUAUUGGAGAGUUUGAUCCUGGCUCAGGACGAACGCUGGCGGCAUGCCUAAUACAUGCAAGUCGAGCGAACUUAAAGAGAAGCUUGCUUCUCUGAUGGUUAGCGGCGGACGGGUGAGUAACACGUAGGCAACCUGCCCUCAAGCUUGGGACAACUACCGGAAACGGUAGCUAAUACCGAAUAGUUGUUUUCUUCGCCUGAAGAAAACUGGAAAGACGGAGCAAUCUGUCACUUGGGGAUGGGCCUGCGGCGCAUUAGCUAGUUGGUGGGGUAACGGCUCACCAAGGCGACGAUGCGUAG
rnacentral:rRNA from 1 species